rnacentral:rRNA from 1 species
GCUACACAUGCAGUCGAGCGGCAGCGGAAGUAGCUUGCUACUUUGCCGGCGAGCGGCGGACGGGUGAGUAAUGUCUGGGAAACUGCCUGAUGGAGGGGGAUAACUACUGGAAACGGUAGCUAAUACCGCAUGACCUCGAAAGAGCAAAGUGGGGGAUCUUCGGACCUCACGCCAUCGGAUGUGCCCAGAUGGGAUUAGCUAGUAGGUGAGGUAAUGGCUCACCUAGGCGACGAUCCCUAGCUGGUCUGAGAGGAUGACCAGCCACACUGGAACUGAGACACGGUCCAGACUCCUACGGGAGGCAGCAGUGGGGAAUAUUGCACAAUGGGCGCAAGCCUGAUGCAGCCAUGCCGCGUGUGUGAAGAAGGCCUUAGGGUUGUAAAGCACUUUCAGCGAGGAGGAAGGCAUCACACUUAAUACGUGUGNUGAUUGACGUUACUCGCAGAAGAAGCACCGGCUAACUCCGUGCCAGCAGCCGCGGUAAUACGGAGGGUGCAAGCGUUAAUCGGAAUUACUGGGCGUAAAGCGCACGCAGGCGGUUUGUUAAGUCAGAUGUGAAAUCCCCGCGCUUAACGUGGGAACUGCAUUUGAAACUGGCAAGCUAGAGUCUUGUAGAGGGGGGUAGAAUUCCAGGUGUAGCGGUGAAAUGCGUAGAGAUCUGGAGGAAUACCGGUGGCGAAGGCGGC